rfam:Oryza sativa (indica cultivar-group) chromosome 7, whole genome shotgun sequence.
AAAGAGACAAAUCCUAAGUUUCCGUGUCCAACAUUUAACCGUCCGUCUUAUUUGAAAAAAUUAUGAAAAAAAAUUAAAAAGACAAAUCACACAUAAAGUAUUAAUCAUAUUUUAUCAUCUAACAACAAUGAAAAUACUAAUUAUAAAAAAAUUUCAUAUAAGACGGAUAGUUAAAUGUUGGAUACGGAAACCUAGGGUUUGUCAUUUU